rnacentral:rRNA from 1 species
AGAACGAACGCUGGCGGCAUACCUAAUACAUGCAAGUCGAACGAACACUUCGGUGUUAGUGGCGCACGGGUGCGUAACGCGUGGGAAUCUGCCCUUGGGUUCGGAAUAACAGUUGGAAACGACUGCUAAUACCGGAUGAUGACGAAAGUCCAAAGAUUUAUCGCCCAGGGAUGAGCCCGCGUAGGAUUAGCUAGUUGGUGAGGUAAAGGCUCACCAAGGCGACGAUCUGUAGCUGGUUUGAGAGGACGACCAGCCACACUGGGACUGAGACACGGCCCAGACUCCUACGGGAGGCAGCAGUGGGGAAUUUUGGACAAUGGGGGAAACCCUGACUCCAGCCAUCCCGCGUGUGCGAGUGAAGGCCGUUCGGGUUAGUAACGUCGUAC